CAGUAAGGAAUGUUGCUCAAUGGGAGAAAUCCUGAAGCAGCAACGCCGCGUGGAGGAUGAAGGGUCUAUGACUUGUAAACUCCUGUAAAGAAGGAAAAAAUUCCCAUUAGAUGGGAGAUGAUGGUACUUCUGGAGUAAGCCCCGGCUAACUACGUGCCAGCGGCCGCGGUAAUACGUAGGGGGCAAGCGUUGUCCGGAUUUACUGGGUGUAAAGGGUGCUCAGGCGGAUUUGUAAGUCAGAGGUGAAAUCUUACAGCUUAACUGUGAAACUGCCUUUGNUACUGCAAGCCUAGAGUAUGGAAGAGAGUGAUGGAAUAUCUGGUGUAGCAGUGAAAUGCGUAGAUAUCAGAUAGAACACCAAUGGCGAAGGCAGUCACUUGGUCCAUUACUGACGCUAAAGCACGAAAGCGUGGGUAGCAAACA
rnacentral:rRNA from 1 species